GGCAUCCAUCAUUGGGGCAGGAUCCCUCUUUCUCUGAUGACCAAGUGGGCUUCCUCAAGAAGAGGUGACUCUGGAAUGCUCAUUCUUCAAAUGCCAAAGGUCCACUGUAUC